GAUUGUAGCUCAGUGGUAGAGUACUUGCCUCGCACGCAUAAGGCACUGGGUUUGAUCCUCAGCAUAACA
rnacentral:tRNA from 1 species